rfam:Candidate division WS6 bacterium OLB21 TZ20_WS6002CONTIG000029, whole genome shotgun sequence.
UUUAUGAAGAGUUUGAUCCUGGCUCAGGAUGACGUUUGCGGCGUGCCUAAGGUAUGCAAGUCGAACGAGAAUUGCGGAGCUUGCUCUGCAAUUCUAGUGGCAGACGGCUGAGUAACGCGUAGGAACUUACCCUCAAGUCAAGGAUACCUUUCCGAAAGGAAAGUUAAUCCUGGAUAUGAUCUUCGGAUCAAAGGCUUUGGUCGCUUGAGGAUAGGCCUGCGUCCUAUCAGGUUGUUGGUGAGGUAAUGGCUCACCAAGCCUAUGACGGGUAACUGGUCUGAGAGGAUGAUCAGUCAGAAUGGAACUGCGAUACGGUCCAUACUCCUACGGGAGGCAGCAAUUAGGAAUCUUGCACAAUGGACGAAAGUCUGAUGCAGCGACGCCGCGUGGAGGAAGAAGGCUCUCGGGUUGUAAACUCCUUUUAUGUGGGAACAAGUUCUGAGUGUACCACAUGAAUAAGGCCCCCCUAACUACGUGCCAGAAGGGUCGGUGAUGCGUAGGGGCCGAACGUUAUCCGGAAUUACUGGGCGUAAAGAGAUGCGUAGGCGACCUGAUAAGUCUUAUGUGAAAGCCCGAGGCUCAACUUCGGAAUUGCAUAAGAAACUAUUAGGAUUGAGUCAGACAGGGGAAAGCAGAAUUCCAGGUGUAGCGGUGAAAUGCGUUGAUAUCUGGAGGAAUACCAAUGGCGAAGGCAGCUUUCUGGGUCUAGACUGACGCUAAGGCUCGAAAGCGUGGGGAGCAAAACGGAUUAGAUACCCGUGUAGUCCACGCUGUAAACUAUCCCUACUAGAUGUAUGAUAUGGAUCUCCGAUUUGGCUUAGGUCAUUUUGGGUUCAUAUUGUGUGUCGCAGCUAACGCAGUAAGUAGGGCGCCUGGGGAGUACGAGCGCAAGCUUAAAACUCAAAGGAAUUGACGGGGACCCGCACAAGCAGUGGAGCGUUUGGUUUAAUUCGAUGCUAAACGAAGAACCUUACCAAGGCUUGAACUGUAGCUGUACCUUUCCCGAAAAGGAAAGGGUCUUCGAGAUCGCUACAGAGGUGCUGCAUGGCUGUCGUCAGCUCGUGUCGUGAGAUGUUGGGUUAAGUCCCGCAACGAGCGCAACCCCUCUCCAGUGUUAUAAUUACUCUGGAUACUGCCUUGCCAAAACGAGGAGGAAGGUGGGGACGACGUCUGGUCAUCAUAGUCCUAUGUCUUGGGCUACACAAGCGCUACAAUGGCCAUUACAGUGGGUUGCCAAGCCGCAAGGUGGAGCUAAUCCCAGAAAAAUGGCCUCAGUUCAGAUUGUCGGCUGAAAUUCGCCGGCAUGAAGUCGGAAUUGCUAGUAAUCGCGAAUCAGCAUGUCGCGGUGAAUACGUUCUCGGGUCUUGUACACACCGCCUGUCAAGUCACGGAAGUUGGUCUUACUGGACGGCUCCUCGUAGGAGGGGACUACAGUAGGGCUGGCGACCAGGGCUAAGUCAUAACAAGGUAGCCGUAGGGGAAUCUGCGGCUGGAUCACCUCCUUU